rnacentral:rRNA from 1 species
UACGUAGGGGGCAAGCGUUGUCCGGAAUCAUUGGGCGUAAAGCGCGUGUAGGCGGCUCGAUAAGUCUGCUGUGAAAGUUCAGGGCUCAACCCUGAAAUGCCGGUGGAAACUGUCGAGCUAGAGUACGGAAGAGGUGGGUGGAAUUUCUGGUGUAGCGGUGAAAUGCGCAGAUAUCAGGAGGAACACCAAUGGCGAAGGCAGCUCACUGGGACGUUACUGACGCUGAGACGCGAAAGCGUGGGGAGCAAACAGG